CUAACACAUGCAAGUCGAACGGUAACAGGAAGCAGCUUGCUGCUUCGCUGACGAGUGGCGGACGGGUGAGUAAUGUCUGGGAAACUGCCUGAUGGAGGGGGAUAACUACUGGAAACGGUAGCUAAUACCGCAUAACGUCGCAAGACCAAAGAGGGGGACCUUCGGGCCUCUUGCCAUCAGAUGUGCCCAGAUGGGAUUAGCUAGUAGGUGGGGUAACGGCUCACCUAGGCGACGAUCCCUAGCUGGUCUGAGAGGAUGACCAGCCACACUGGAACUGAGACACGGUCCAGACUCCUACGGGAGGCAGCAGUGGGGAAUAUUGCACAAUGGGCGCAAGCCUGAUGCAGCCAUGCCGCGUGUAUGAAGAAGGCCUUCGGGUUGUAAAGUACUUUCAGCGGGGAGGAAGGCGAUGCGGUUAAUAACCGCGUCGAUUGACGUUACCCGCAGAAGAAGCACCGGCUAACUCCGUGCCAGCAGCCGCGGUAAUACGGAGGGUGCAAGCGUUAAUCGGAAUUACUGGGCGUAAAGCGCACGCAGGCGGUCUGUCAAGUCGGAUGUGAAAUCCCCGGGCUCAACCUGGGAACUGCAUCCGAAACUGGCAGGCUUGAGUCUCGUAGAGGGGGGUAGAAUUCCAGGUGUAGCGGUGAAAUGCGUAGAGAUCUGGAGGAAUACCGGGCCCGAAGGCGGCCCCCUGGACGAAGACUGACGCUC
rnacentral:rRNA from 1 species